rnacentral:rRNA from 1 species
UGAGGAAUUUUCCACAAUGGGCGAAAGCCUGAUGGAGCAAUGCCGCGUGGGGGAAGAAGGACUGUGGUUCGUAAACCUCUUUUCUUAGAGAAGAAACAAUGACGGUAUCUGAGGAAUAAGGACCGGCUAACUCUGUGCCAGCAGCCGCGGUAAUACAGAGGGUCCAAGCGCUAUCCGGAAUUAUUGGGCGUAAAGCGUCUGUAGGUGGUUUAAAAAGUCUACUGUCAAAUACCGAGGCUUAACCUCGGACAGGCAGUGGAGUACUUUUAGACUUGAGUGCGGUAGAGGUAGAGGGAAUCCCUAGCGUAACAGUGAAAUGUGUAGAUUUUAGGGGGAACACCAGCGGCGAAGGCGCUCUACUGGGCCGAGACUGACACUGAGAGACGAAAGCUAAGGGAGCGAAUAGG